AAUCUCCUUUUGUAGUAAGGUAAGCAGUGAUGUUACUGCCCCUCACAAAAACUGCAUGUCGUUACUUAACGCCUCCUCUUCUAAACCAGCCGCUGCCAUCCUCUUCCUUCCUUCACCUCCUUGAAUUGUUGUCACUGCUGUCCGAACCUCCUUCCAUUCUCGAGAUGGAGCUGCGCUCAUCCCUUCACAAUCGAUCGUUUUCUCCAACUCAUCAGCUGCACAAACAAGUGGAUGGCUCCGCUUUCGUCUCUGUGAGAUCUCCAUCAUUCGUAUGGGUUCUUGAGAUCCCAAUAUCAUCAAGUCACUCCCCUGAUAUCUCUCUCUGUUGAUUUGAUCUCGAAAUUAGCUUGUCGGUUCGAUCUUGUCCUGCUUCCUUGACGUGAUUUCUCCAUAACCAGAGAUUUUUCAGACUGAUGGAUGUGAAGCAAUUAGAUGGUUAAAAGGGCUUCUUUUAACUCCUAGAUGAUGUCGAACGACAAAGUUUUGAAGGCUAUUUUCCCUUUACUAGAUGAGUAAGGACCUUGCCUGAUGUAUGGAAGUCUAUAAGUAACGAAGAGAUAUCUCCUUCUUGAAGGAGAACUUGCCCUAGUUUCAAAGCUUCGGAGACAAAGGAUAAGAAUGACCUGAAGAAGAAAAAUUCGAAAAGAACAAGCACGGCUGGAAGAAGCAAUUUGAGUUGAAGUUGCUGCAGAACAAAUGUAAAUUUGUUUAAUAAGUAUUUGGCUUUGUCAGGUCUUGUAACCGUAGAAUUUUUAAAAUAUUAUGUAAUGACUUUGGACAUAAUUAUUCGGGUUAUCAAAUCGAUGUGUAAUUUAUUUGGUCUAUAUUGCAAUUAACAAAUAGCUUGUAAACAA